rnacentral:rRNA from 1 species
AUUGCACGCUGGCGGCAGGCCUAACACAUGCAAGUCGAACGAGUGGCGGACGGGUGAGUAAUGUCUGGGAAACUGCCUGAUGGAGGGGGAUAACUACUGGAACCGGUAGCUAAUACCGCAUACCAUCGGAUGUGCCCAGCUGGGAUUAGCUAGUAGGUGGGGUAAUUUCUCACCUAGGCGCCGAUCCCUAGCUGGUCUGAGAGGAUGACCACCCACACGGGAACUUAAACACGGUACACAUUCCUACGCGAGGAAGAAAUUGGGAAUAUUGCACAAUAGGCGCAAGCCUGAUGCAGCCUAGCCGCGUGUAUGAAGAAGUCCGUCGGUUUAUAAAGUACUUCCAGCGAGGAGGCAUUACCCGCAGAAGAAGCACCAGCUAACUCCGUGCCAGCGGCCGCGGUAAUUC